AAAAAGGCAGUAAACGGGGAAUCUCUUUUUUUGAAUCAAGAAGAAGAAGAAAUAAAGUACCUGUCAUCUUGACAAGUGGCGGAGCGGAGGAGUCAAGGAUUAUAAAUGAUCACAGCCAGGUCCAGCUCGCCCCGUGAUUGGGCUCUCCCGCGAUCUGCACCGGGAGAAGCGCAUGAGAGGCCAAUGAGACUCGAACCCUGAACCUAAGUUGUCACCAGCAGGACUGAUGUGCACACAGAAGGAAUGAAGUAUGGAUGUGAAAGAACGCAGGCCUUACUGCUCCCUGACCAAGGGCAGACGAGAGAAAGAACGGCGCUACACAAAUUCCUCCGCAGACAAUGAGGAGUGUCGGGUACCCACACAGAAGUCCUACAGUUCCAGCGAGACACUGAAAGCUUUUGAUCAUGAUUCCUCGCGGCUGCUUUAUGGCAACAGAGUGAAGGAUUUGAUUCACAGAGAAGCCGACGAGUUCACUGGACAAGGACAGAAUUUUACCCUAAGGCAGUUAGGAGUUUGUGAACCAGCAACUCGAAGAGGACUGGCAUUUUGUGCGGAAAUGGGGCUCCCUCACAGAGGUUACUCUAUCAGUGCAGGGUCAGAUGCUGAUACUGAAAAUGAAGCAGUGAUGUCCCCAGAGCAUGCCAUGAGACUGUGGGGCAGGGGGGUCAAAUCAGGCCGCAGCUCCUGCCUGUCAAGUCGGUCCAACUCAGCCCUCACCCUGACAGAUACGGAGCACGAAAACAAGUCCGACAGUGAGAAUGCUUGAGAUGUGUUCUUGGAAGUUCUAUUGUAUCACUAAAGGUUGAAAAGAGAAGGAGAUGGGUGAAAUACCUCACCAAAAGGAAACUAAUUUAAGAGCCAGAUGCUGAUGUGUUUUCAUCUGGUUUAACAUGAGAGCUUUCCUUGACUGUUUUCUUCAUUUGAAAUAACUGUGAAUGAGGCUGUUUUUCCCAGAAAAAAAAAUGUUAUUCAACAUUGUAAAAUUAUGCAAGCAGAGUGCCUGAUGUUCUAGCUACAACUUCAAAGAAGAAUUUAGUCACUAAAAGGGAUUAGAUUCCAUUUAUUUAUUGAUAAAGAGGCCAACAGUUCAAGUUAAGAAGGCGCUAGAACUGCUGUGAGGCUAAUGAAAUUUUGAUGGCCCGAGCCUCCCACAAGAGUAAGAGAACAUUCGGACCGUGUCACACAGCUCUCUGUUAGCUGAGAUUCAAAACAAGUGAUCAGAUUUAUUCUUUUGC
rnacentral:sRNA from 1 species